rnacentral:lncRNA from 1 species
GAAGAAGAAGGAGGCAACUUUGCAGGUUUGGCAAGCCCUACUUUUAAGGCUACACAAGAAGAAGAAGAAGGUGGUUUGGAAAGGAAGCUGAGAGAUCAGAAGAAGCAGAAAAAGAAGAAGAAUAGGUAGAAAGUGAAGAAAAAGGAGGAGGCAACUCUGAAGGGGCAGAGAAGAAGGCAACUUUGAAGGUUUGGCAAGCCCUACUUUUAAGGCUACACAAGAAGAAGGCAACUCAAAAGGUUUUUUGGGUGAUUGACAUGAUGGCUAGCUUUUUACCUCUCUAGGUUUUUCUUUCUUUUUGCAAACUUGUUUUGGCUCUCUUUGUAUAUUGCCUGUAUACGUAGGGUGCACCCCCUGUUUUGGCAUUUUAUCAAUUUAAUUUGUCUUCGUCUAUCAAAAGAAAAAAGGUUUGACAAGAAGAAGAUGCCCUAGUUUUUAGGCUACACAAGAAGAAGUCAAAACCCUACUUUUAAAGGUUUGGUAAGGAGGAAGAAGAAGAAGAUGAAGAAAAGCACUCCCGACUUUUAAAGGAAAAUAAUAAAGCAACUCUAAAAGCUCUACUUUAAAAGCUCCACAAGAAGAAGGCAACUCUGUAGGUUUAGAGGAUAUAAAGCCAUCAAAAAGUUUUCCUUCUAAAAGUCUCUAGUAUGAUACCUAGCCAAAGUUGAGAAGAUGAAGAGGAGACUAGAUAACUCAAAUCAAUGAGGAUAUUGUGCCUGCUAAAAGUCUCUAGCAUGAUGUGAGAAGAAGAAGAAAGAUAUAAUGCCCCUUCUAAAUCUCCCUUCUAAAAGUCUCUAGCAUGAUACCUAACCAGAGGUGAGAAGAAGAAAUCAAUGAAGACAUAGUGCCUUCUUAAAGGCUUU